rnacentral:rRNA from 1 species
CCAGAGAAUUUAGCAGAGAUGCUUUAGUGCCUUCGGGAACUCUGAGACAGGUGCUGCAUGGCUGUCGUCAGCUCGUGUUGUGAAAUGUUGGGUUAAGUCCCGCAACGAGCGCAACCCUUAUCCUUUGUUGCCAGCACGUGAUGGUGGGAACUCAAAGGAGACUGCCGGUGAUAAACCGGAGGAAGGUGGGGAUGACGUCAAGUCAUCAUGGCCCUUACGAGUAGGGCUACACACGUGCUACAAUGGCGCAUACAAAGAGAAGCGACCUCGCGAGAGCAAGCGGACCUCAUAAAGUGCGUCGUAGUCCGGAUUGGAGUCUGCAACUCGACUCCAUGAAGUCGGAAUCGCUAGUAAUCGUAAAUCAGAAUGUUACGGUGAAUACGUUCCCGGGCCUUGUACACACCGCCCGUCACACCAUGGGAGUGGGUUGCAAAAGAAGUAGAUAGCUUAACCUUCGGGAGGGCGUUUACCACUUUGUGAUUCAUGACUGGGGUGAAGUCGUAACAAGGUAGGCGUAGUGCU